CCAGCCUCACCUGGAAGGAUGUCACACCAUCACCAUGGCACAUGCACAGCUCUAAGCAUUCCACACGCCCACAGACAAUGGUUAAACCACUCCUUGGAACUGGCUCACAUGUGCUUACACGAGGGAAGGGAGCAGAGCAAUGUCACUGCUGACGCUGCACCACCAUUGAUUUUUGUCCUCCAGGUCACAGGCUGACAUGCCUCUCGCCCAGCUUCUAUGCUCUGCGGCACCUGGCAGAGGGGUGGAAAGUUCACAUCUCCCGUACAAGCGACAGAACACUUCUGCUUCACAAGGUAGAGGAGCCCAGAAAUCUUCCCAUUAUCUCAAAAAGGGUGAGAUGAAGUCCUCUGUUCGUGGAAUUAAGGCUGUAGCAGCUGGUGGGGUUACUGAAGCAGCAACAGCGAGCUCUGUUCUGCGUUAUGAAGACAUCACUUUCGCUGGAGAAGAAAUGUUAACGCUGGAACCGCACUCAAAUUCCCUCUAAUUGGAAGGAAACGUGAGACCCAACUCUCGGUUCUCAUUGGCAUGGAGACACUUGCGUACAAUCACGCUGCUGGACUCUGAGCAAAUUGAGAUUGCAGAUGAGUACUCCAGAUUUAGAGCUGUUAACCCUCCCUGUGCUGGGGACUGCGCUUUGGUUCUCUCCGAGGAUUUGUCUGUCCUGAAUGAAUGAAGGAUUUCAGAUUUCCCAGCCUGGCAGAGACCCCCGCGACACAGGGUGAGCGCUUCCAGCAUCCGGAGCAGUCACUCAGAGACACCUCCACUCCCAUAAACGUGAUGUCUCACCGGAUCAUUUGGAAUAAAGGGAUGGCUCCGGCUAUAGAUCGGUGGCUGAUCGAUGGGCUCGGCAGCAGCACUGAGGACGUGGGGACGCGGGGCAGCUCAGUGCGUUGUGUCUCUGCAGUGUCAGCUUUCCGGAGGCUGGGACGCGCUGAGCAGCUGUAACCCCUUGGAAUUUUUGGAGAUUCCGGGAAGCGACUGAUGAGGAAGCACUGGUGCAACUCCAAAACAGACAGAUAAACCCCAGGGGUUGAAGAGAGGAUCCCUUAUCUUUGAUUUAUGGCUGGGAUGUCUUUGCUGGGAAAUGAACUUUCCUCAGGUCUGAAUUUAUCCCGUUGUGGGAUUGCGGGAUAGGACCCUCCCUCUCAUCAACAUCUGUACAAAUUGUACCAGUGAUGAUCCACACUCCUUAUGGCAAACUUUACCCAGGUCCUUGCAGAAAGCACAGUGGGAAGCUCUGCUUGGUGAAGUCAGCAGGGUGUGGGAGGUUGGAAGCUCAUAGGUCAGUAACCAGCAUCAGAUGGGACAGGCUCACACCACACAGCAGGAUGGAGCCUGAGACUCAUCCCUGUCCUUGUGAGGACCUCAGCAUUACGUCCGGGCCUGAGGAGGCUCCACUGCAAUGGGGUAACUUUGUCCCAAAAGCAGAAGCACAGCAGCAAGAGCUUAUUUCCCCACAGAGACACUUCUGAGAGCCACCAGCUGCCUGGGUGACGGCUGCCCAACAGCAUACGUAGAGCCCUCGGUAGCAGAAUGCAUUUGGGUUCAGCGCCUGUUUCCUUCCUGCUAUUUAUUUUCGUUUUCCACAAUAAAAUGCUAAAUAUGAACUAUAGAUACUCUGCUUUAAAUUGCAACAAGAGCUGCAUUUUCCACUUGCUUGGUUAUAGCUCUUUAAGUGAUACAUUAUAUUGUUUGCCAGAAUACUUCUACAAAGUCUUUGCUUCAUUUAACUUGUAGAACAAUUCAGCCAGAUUGGUCCAUAA